ACGAACGCUGGAGGUAUGCCUCAUACAUGCAAGUCGUACGGGGUUUAUUGGAGCUUGCUUCGAUGAACUUAGCGGCGCACGGGUGAGUAACGCGUGGGUAACCUGCCUUUUAGUCUGGGAUAACUCUGGGAAACCAGGACUAAUACCGGAUGACCACAUCGAUCGUAUGUUUGAUGUGUAAAAGCUGCCCUCUGAUUUAAGGUAGCGCUAAGAGAGGGGCCUGCGUCCUAUUAGCUUGUUGGUGGGGUAAAAGCCUACCAAGGCUUAGAUGGGUAGCCGGCUUGAGAGAGUGAUCGGCCACACUGGAACUGAGACACGGUCCAGACUCCUACGGGAGGCAGCAGUAGGGAAUAUUCCGCAAUGGGGGCAACCCUGACGGAGCAAUACCUCGUGAGUGAUGAAGGCUUUAGGGUCGUAAAGCUCAGUCAGCAGGGAAGAAGGCUAUGUGUGAAAAUAUUGCACGUAGAUUGACGGUACCUGCAGAGGAAGCCACGGCUAAUUACGUGCCAGCAGCCGCGGUAAUACGUAAGUGGCAAGCGUUGUCCGGAUUUACUGGGCGUAAAGGACGCGUAGGCGGCUUUGUAAGUUGGAGGUGAAAACUCUGGGCUUAACCUGGAGCCUGCCUUCAAAACUGCAAAGCUAGAGUUUCGGAGAGGAAAGUGGUAUUCCAUGUGUAGCGGUGAAAUGCGUAGAUAUAUGGGAGAACACCAAUGGCGAAAGCAGCUUUCUGGACGAAUACUGACGCUGAGGCGUGAAAGCGUGGAGAGCGAACAGGAUUAGAUACCCUGGUAGUCCACGCCGUAAACGAUGGGUACUAGCUGUGGGUGAAGAGAUUCAUCUGUGGCGAAGCUAACGCAUUAAGUACCCCGCCUGGGGAGUACGGUCGCAAGAUUAAAACUCAAAGGAAUUGACGGGGGCCCGCACAAGCGGUGGAGUAUGUGGUUUAAUUCGAUGCAACGCGGAGAACCUUACCUGGGCUUGACAUCCGGUGCCACGCAUAGAGAUAUGCGGUUCGGUAGCGAUAUCGACGCCGUGACAGGUGGUGCAUGGUUGUCGUCAGCUCGUGUCGUGAGAUGUUCGGUUAAGUCCGGUAACGAGCGUAACCCUUGCCUCUAGUAUACCAGCACGUUAUGGUGGGGACUUUAGAGGGACUGUCUACUAGUUGUAGAAGGAAGGUGGGGAUGACGUCAAAUCAGCAUGCCCCUUACGUCCAGGGCUACACACGUACUACAAUGGCCAGUACAGCGAGGAGCGAGACGGUGACGUUUAGCAAAUCUCUAAAAGCUGGUCUAAGUUCGGAUUGGAGUCUGCAACUCGACUCCAUGAAGUUGGAAUCGCUAGUAAUCGCGGAUCAGCAUGCCGCGGUGAAUACGUUCCCGGGCCUUGUACUCACCGCCC
rnacentral:rRNA from 1 species